rnacentral:rRNA from 1 species
AUGGCUCAGAACGAACGCUGGCGGCAGGUCUUAGGCAUGCAAGUCGAACGGAUGACAAGGGAGCUUGCUUCCUUGAAGUCAGUGGCGCACGAGUGAGUAACGCGUGGGAAACUGCCCUUCACUGGGGAAUAACGUUUGGAAACGAACGCUAAUACCGCAUACGCCCGCAAGGGGAAAGAUUUAUCGGUGAUGGAUGUGCCCGCGUUGGAUUAGCUAGUUGGUGGGGUAAUGGCCUACCAAGGCGAUGAUCCAUAGCUGGUCUGAGAGGACGAUCAGCCACGCUGGAACUGAGACACGGUCCAGACUCCUACGGGAGGCAGCAGCUAAGAAUAUUGGGCAAUGGAGGAAACUCUGACCCAGCCAAUGCCGCGUGAAUGAAGAAGGCCUUCGGGUUGUAAAGUUCUUUUAGUCAUGAAGAUGAUGACAGUAGUGACAGAAAAAGCACCGGCUAACUUCGUGCCAGCAGCAGC